rnacentral:lncRNA from 10 species
GCCUACUUUUUAUGUCCAUUCCUACGGCUGCAGGGCCAUGUCCUGUGAUUGGCAGCUCCUCAGAACCACAUGGAGUGGAAGAGCUGUUCCUAGAAAUAGGGUGCUUGUUAUUCUGAGAGGACAAGAAUGACAGCCACGUCAUCUGGAGAAGGCAGCCAGGGAAGUUGUUGGCCAAGCUUUGCUGGCUUUUUUGCAGCUUUCUGUUCCCGCAAGUUACUCCCCCAAAUCCUACCUAUUUUAAAAGCAACUCUCACAGGAAGAAAGGCUUGGUAGCCAACAGAUGACCACCACAUUCUCUCCCCCAAGACGUCUGAUUUCAGAAGGCAAAAAUUCAAGAAUGAAUAUUUACUGCCUAUAUCUGACAGAAGAAUCCCAUUUCUCAUGAGAAAAUCAAUGGAUAAUACUCAGCGUUUCUUCAAAACCAAAACUUCCUUUAUCAAAACCUGUAGAACACAGGUUUCAGCAAACUUCGUAAAAUAUUCAGAUCAAAUUUGGGUUUGUUAUUGAUUUUCAGGGGGAUUAAUCUCUUUUAUAUUAAAAGCUCAUUUGGUCACAA